rnacentral:rRNA from 1 species
UACGUAGGGACCAAGCGUUGUUCGGAUUUACUGGGCGUAAAGGGCGCGUAGGCGGCGCGGUAAGUCACUUGUGAAAUCUCUGAGCUUAACUCAGAACGGCCAAGUGAUACUGCAGUGCUAGAGUGUGGAAGGGGCAAUCGGAAUUCUUGGUGUAGCGGUGAAAUGCGUAGACAUCAAGAGGAACACCUGAGGUGAAGACGGGUUGCUGGGCCAACACUGACGCUGAGGCGCGAAAGCCAGGGGAGCAAACGGG